GUGGAGUAUCGUCGACAUGCAACAACAACAACGCUUGAUCUAACAACAAGCCUAAAAAAGCCGCGAAGUGGAAGAAACAAAGGGUUGGCAAACUUCAGCCAGUAGUAGUUCCUAGGAAGCCCAAAACAUUGAUGGCAAAACGAGACUUAUUUCUGUUUGGAGGAAUAGCUGCUGCCAUUGGUCUUGCUUUGCUCCCAAUUUAUGCAUACCCUAAAUUUAAUCCAAAUGGCUAUAAUAAUGUCCAAGAAAGGAAUAGAGAAGGUUUAGACAGAGAAGCUAUUCAGCCUGGUGGUAUGAAAAUUUGGAAUGAUCCAUUUGACAGGAAGAAAAACAGUUCUGGAGAAGAAUAAGAGCUCAAUGUCAUAAUUAUAGUCAUGCUUGAUGUGUUGUAUAAUUGGUUUUAAGCUUUUACAGUAAAAAGAUUAAAAGAAAAAAAAGUUUAAAAUCUUAUAUCCCAUAUUUUCUGCAGCCAAAGGAUGACUUUUUCUAAAUCAUAUUAGAACAAUUAGAAGAUCCCCAAAAAGACAUGUGAACCACUGUAUAUGGCAAAACAUAGUAAUUUUAUGGAGGAUAAACAUGAUUUUAGUUUUACAACCCUAUAAGUAACUUAAUGACUGAGCAACAUAUAUUUUCAUUCCCUCUGGAUCAGAAUUUUUAUGAGGCUUUAUAAAGAUAUCAUUCAUAUAUCAUAUUUGUUGUUGUGACAGAAUGAUUUGAAUUUUCUAAGCUAGAAAAAAUAAUAGGUUCAGUGUAUUUUAAGAACUACUGAUUUAGAAUUUUGCUUUACAUAACAAGUUGUUUGUACUGUUUGGUUUGUGAACAUUUUUCUAGUCAAAAUUA